UCUACUUCUGCUUCCAGAUAACUGCUGAAAAUUUUAAACAAACCAGAGCUCUGGCAGGACCCUGCUAGACGCUUCGUCCAAACAUAUCAUCUUACAACUCAGAUAAAAGGAUCUGCUGGAUUUUCUUUUGGCUGAGAUAAGACAUUUGUAUUCAUUGAAACCAAUGUUAAUUGGCCUGGAAACAUCACAUUGCUGUGACUCAGCAGAGGACCUUUUUCUGGAGAGGCACUCCACCUGAGGAUCCACUUAGGAACUAGCAGCCUGAUUGCCUUUCUCUGUAUAACAUCAGGUCUGAACACAUCUCUGUACAACAAUGUAAACUGGAUGAAAAGCAAAGGCUGGAUCUUUCUUUGGCUUCUAGUGGAACAAAUGGAAAGAGCAUUCAGAGUCAGCGUAUCUGUAUGAGUGCAAGUGAAUUGAAAGACUCAGGGCUUUGAGUUUUGUGUAGGCUGCAGUUUUCUUGGAGCGAGCUGUCUUCAUGACCCAAGACAUACAGUGAGCUGAAUUUAUGGUGUAAUCAGGUUUCAUUCUGGUGGGAUUUAAUACAAAACUUGUAAAUGUAUGACUCUGCGUAACUGUCACCAGAGUCACAGAUAGGAAUUUCUCUGAAUCAGGC
rnacentral:lncRNA from 1 species